rnacentral:rRNA from 1 species
UACGUAGGGUGCAAGCGUUAAUCGGAAUUACUGGGCGUAAAGCGUGCGCAGGCGGUUGUGCAAGACAGAUGUGAAAUCCCCGGGCUCAACCUGGGAAUUGCAUUUGUGACUGCACGGCUAGAGUGUGUCAGAGGGGGGUAGAAUUCCACGUGUGAGCAGUGAAAUGCGUAGAGAUGUGGAGGAAUACCGAUGGCGAAGGCAGCCCCCUGGGAUAACACUGACGCUCAUGCACGAAAGCGUGGGGAGCAAACAGG